CAAUAGCGUAUACUAAAGUUGUUGCGAUUAAAAAGCUCGUAGUUGGAUCUCAGGCAUGGGCGCACGGUCCGCCUCGCGGCGGUCACUGUGUGUUUUGUUUCCCAUCCUACGCUUCCCGGUUAUCAGCCCAUGGUGCUCUUCACUGAGCGUUUUGGGUGGCCGGAACGUUUACUUUGAAGAAAUUAGAGUGUUCAAAGCAGGCACGUCGCCUGAAUAAUGGUGCAUGGAAUAAUGGAAUAGGACCUCGGUUCUACUUUGCUGGUUUUCGGAACACGAGGUAAUGAUUAAGAGGGACAGACGGGGGCAUCCGUAUUGCGGUGUUAGAGGUGAAAUUCUUGGAUCAUCGCAAGACGAACAACUGCGAAAGCAUUUGCCAAGCAUGUUUUCAUUAG
rnacentral:rRNA from 1 species